GGAAUAUAAGAACCCGCCUCUUAACUUUUAACUAAAAAAACUAAGAACCGUCUCUUAAAACUCUUAUUUAAGAGCCGGUUCUUAGCUUUUUUAGUUAAAAGUUAAGAGUCAGAUUCUUAUAUUCC
rfam:Brassica napus, WGS project CCCW01000000 data, contig: 1866